CGCGGCGUAGCGCAGCGGCAGCGCAACGGCCUCAUAAGCCGAAGGUCGCGGGUUCGAGUCCCGCCGCCGCCA
rnacentral:tRNA from 1 species